rnacentral:rRNA from 1 species
AUCGAACGCUGGCGGCAGGCCUAACACAUGCAAGUCGAACGAGUGGCGGACGGGUGAGUAAUGUCGGGGAAACUGCCUGAUGGAGGGGGAUAACUACUGGAAACGGUAGCUACUACUGCAUACCAUGAGAUGGGCCCACAUGGGAUUAGCUUGUUGGUGGGGUAAAGGCUGACAAAGGCGACGAUCCCUAGCUGGUCUGAGAGGAUGACCUGCCACACUGGAACUGCGACACGGCCCAGACUCCUACGGGAGGCAGCAGUGGGGAAUAUUGCACAAUGGGCGCAAGCCUGAUGAAGCCAUGCCGCGUGUAUGAAGAAGGCCUUCGGGUUGUAAAGCACUUUCGGCGGGGAGGCGUUACCCGCAGAAGAAGCACCGGCUAACUCCGUGCCAGCAGCCGCGGUAAUAC